GGUUCUAGCGAGCCCAACCUCCCACCCGUGUUUACUGUACCUUAGUUGCUUCGGCGGGCCCGCCAUUCAUGGCCGCCGGGGGCUCUCAGCCCCGGGCCCGCGCCCGCCGGAGACACCACGAACUCUGUCUGAUCUAGUGAAGUCUGAGUUGAUUGUAUCGCAAUCAGUUAAAACUUUCAACAAUGGAUCUCUUGGUUCCGGCAUCGAUGAAGAACGCAGCGAAAUGCGAUAACUAGUGUGAAUUGCAGAAUUCCGUGAAUCAUCGAGUCUUUGAACGCACAUUGCGCCCCCUGGUAUUCCGGGGGGCAUGCCUGUCCGAGCGUCAUUGCUGCCCAUCAAGCACGGCUUGUGUGUUGGGUCGUCGUCCCCUCUCCGGGGGGGACGGGCCCCAAAGGCAGCGGCGGCACCGCGUCCGAUCCUCGAGCGUAUGGGGCUUUGUCACCCGCUCUGUAGGCCCGGCCGGCGCUUGCCGAACGCAAAUCAAUCUUUUCCAGGUUGACCUCGGAUCAGGUAGGGAUACCCGCUGAACUUAAGCAUAUCAAUAA
rnacentral:rRNA from 1 species